CUACGAAGGGGGCUAGCGUUGUUCGGAAUCACUGGGCGUAAAGCGCGCGUAGGUGGAUCAAUUAGUUGAGGGUGAAAUCCCGGGGCUCAACCUCGGAACUGCCUUCAAUACUGUUGAUCUUGAGACCGAGAGAGGUGAGUGGAAUUCCUAGUGUAGAGGUGAAAUUCGUAGAUAUUAGGAAGAACACCAGUGGCGAAGGCGGCUCACUGGCUCGGUACUGACGCUGAGGUGCGAAAGCGUGGGGAGCAAACAGGAUUAGAUACCCUUGUAGUCC
rnacentral:rRNA from 1 species